rnacentral:rRNA from 1 species
UGGGGAAUUUUGGACAAUGGGCGAAAGCCUGAUCCAGCAAUGCCGCGUGUGUGAAGAAGGCCUUCGGGUUGUAAAGCACUUUUGUCCGGAAAGAAAUCCUUGGCUCUAAUACAGUCGGGGGAUGACGGUACCGGAAGAAUAAGCACCGGCUAACUACGUGCCAGCAGCCGCGGUAAUACGUAGGGUGCAAGCGUUAAUCGGAAUUACUGGGCGUAAAGCGUGCGCAGGCGGUUUGCUAAGACCGAUGUGAAAUCCCCGGGCUCAACCUGGGAACUGCAUUGGUGACUGGCAGGCUAGAGUAUGGCAGAGGGGGGUAGAAUUCCACGUGUAGCAGUGAAAUGCGUAGAGAUGUGGAGGAAUACCGAUGGCGAAGGCAGCCCCCUGGGCCAAUACUGACGCUCACGCACGAAAGCGUGGGGAGCAAACAGGAUUAGAUACCCUGGUAGUCCACGCCCUAAACCGAUGUCAACUAGUUGUUGGGGAUUCAUUUCCUUAGUAACGUAGCUAACGCGUGAAGUUGACCGCCUGGGGAGUACGGUCGCAA